rnacentral:rRNA from 1 species
AUACGAAGGGUGCAAGCGUUACUCGGAAUUACUGGGCGUAAAGCGUGCGUAGGUGGUUAUUUAAGUCCGUUGUGAAAGCCCUGGGCUCAACCUGGGAACUGCAGUGGAUACUGGAUGACUAGAAUGUGGUAGAGGGUAGCGGAAUUCCUGGUGUAGCAGUGAAAUGCGUAGAGAUCAGGAGGAACGUCCAUGGCGAAGGCAGCUACCUGGACCAACAUUGACACUGAGGCACGAAAGCGUGGGGAGCAAACAGGAUUAGAUACCCUGGUAGUCCACGCCCUAAACGAUGCGAACUGGAUGUUGGGUGCAAUUUGGCACGCAGUAUCGAAACUAACGCGUUAAGUUCGCCGCCUGGGGAGUACGGUCGCAAGACUGAA